rnacentral:lncRNA from 1 species
UGAUUUAACUUUUUUAUUUGACGUUCUGUCUUACAAGAUUUUCAAAUGCUUAUAAAUUUUGCAUAAUUAAAUCUCCUGUAAAAUUCAAACGCUUAAAUUGGCAGGGAUUGUCAAGAAAUACUUUUUUAAAAGCUGUAAACCAAUUAUAUCAUAAAUGUGUAUACUAAAUCGGGAAUAUCAAGUCAAACGUAAAGUUAAUAUAUAUAAUUAUACAAGAAGCAGCGACUCAGUCAGAAAACGGUUCACACCCAAAGUAUUUUUUUUUUCGUGCAACGUUCAUGACAUGAUGACAGAAAACUUUUAACGUGAAAUAACGUCUUAUUUCAUGCUUAUUCAGUGCAAGAACCACCACCCUUACCACCCACUUCACACUUAAUGACCCCCCCCCCCCAAAAAAAAAGAACAAAAACCAAAAAACUAGUCCUCUUUAAACGUAAAUUAUACUCUCAAACUUGUUUUAACUAAAUGUUUACCAUAUAAGACCAUAUAUAUUGAAAUCAUUUCAACAACAGGCUACCGCCGUACUGUCAAGUUUUCAUUCGAAUUUUAAGCUCUGCAUCUUAAAGUUCAAGGUCACAACCAGUUUGUCUUACCUGAACUGGUUCCCUGAUUGCAUUUGGAUAACAGACGUUCUUCUAUCGCACUGCAUGUGUUGAUCACUGACUGUAAGUAGUAGAAGUUGAACUAAAAAAACAGUUUGAAGGUGAGGAUGUUUGUUUCAUUCACAGACCUGGUACCCGUCACCUAUAAUUCUGUAAAUUCCACCUUUCUCAGACGAACCACUUCGGUUUGGAAAUCCUCAGGUUACCUGACAGUGACAGGUAUGAGGAAAAUCUGGAUUCAGAAUAUUUUUUGUCAUUGACAUUUGCUUGACCACAAUAAUGUCAACUGUUCAAUGCUUAUUAAAUAGAGCAAUAAAUUCUCUUACACAGUUUAAAAAAAAAAAAAUUAAAAUUCAGAAUUAAAGUUAUUCAUUAAAACAAUACAUGUACUACCAAAUAUAGACCUAUUCAAGUACACCUUUGGCUUAAUUAAGAAGUUCCGGGUCAAGUCAGAUACCGAUACCAAUAGUAUAUUCACCUGUUACCUAUUACCUUAUCUUUACGUUCCGCAUCUGACAGGCACCACCAAACGGUGUAUUCAGGAUUAAUAUGCUAUAUACACAGGUCAUAAUCACAGGGUUGACACUACUAAAUUGUCAAAUUGUUACCUAUUGUAGUAUUUUAAUCAGUAAGACUUUCUAAGAUAACAAUACGAAUACUAAAAAUCUGGACUAAAAAUAAGGCGUAUAGGUACAGUUUUCAAUUUGUUAGCGGGCAUGACGUAAAAUAGCGAAUCAAAGAAUUCAACUUUAUUUAUAACUAAUUAUAUAGGACCAUGCUGUUGAUUAAAAAAUAUUCAUUCCAGGACCUUUUGUUUUCCAAAUAAUUAUUAUUACCAAUAAUUGAUAAGUUCCAAUUCGACGGGUUCAAACAGAAAGAUUUGAAAGCAGAGAAAACUGUGUAUCUUAUAAUCGGCAUGACUUUAUCAGAUGACAAUACUAAUACUAAAAUAAGGCUUGCGCAUAGUUAUAUACUUUAAUUCAGUCAUGGACCCGCGAUAUCACAGGUGUGUUCUAGUUUAAUUUAAAGUUCUGUAGGACUCUUUGUAAACAAUAAAUGCUGGCAUAAUUAACAUAAUACUUAUUUUAGUGACUUAAUCACAAUGAAAAUCGGUAAGAGAUCAACCUAAUUAAAAGUCUCUGUUUUUUUUUUACAAAAAUCUAAGCUUUACUUGCAUACAACCCCUAUUUUCUAUUCAUUUUUUUCUUUUUUUUCUACUCUAUUCUACCAUAUAUAGUAACCGCCUUCAACAAAAGUAAGAUUUUGUAAUUGAGUUAAUAUUGAUGCUUUGAAAUUGAAGAUUUGAAAGAGUCUACUGAAGUGCAAUUUACAAUGUUAUCCGGUAGUUUAGAUCAGGCCAUGCAAAAAUGAUUGUUUGUUUCCCCCAUCCCUGCUGGGAAUGAAGAUGAAAAAAAAAGAAAGAGUUGUUUUGGUUUUAAAAUUGUCUGAUAUUUUUUAUAUAGUGUUUAGUUUAAACAAUUUAUUUAUUCAGAUAAAUCAACAUUUAACAAUAUUAUACAACAUGCACAAAAGAAAUAAUAUAUAUUAUUUAAUAGCAAUAUAAUAUUUCCAACAAAAAGUAACCAGAGGUUAUAUAUAGCGUGCUAUAAAUUCCAAUAUUGCACUAGUGCAAUAAAUCUUCAGAAUUCAUGACGUCAUGCAAUGUCUUUAUCUACUGUGGAUUCAUUAAUAUUCUUUGGAUAUCAAUUUCCGUGGUUUUCAUGGGUACAGGCCUAGGUGAACCACAAAUUUAAAAGUUCACAAAGAAUAACAAAUUUUCUCUAUUAGAUUGUAUGCAGUAACUUUGCCAAAACCAUGUUCUAAACAAAACAACACAGUGAUAAUUCAAACUGUGCAAUAAAACAUUACUCUGGACUUACUAACUAUUAUUAUUGCAUAGCAAUAUAAUAUUUCCCACAGAUAGUAACCAAAAGUAAUGUAAGUGUGCAAUAAAUCUUCAAAAUUCAUGAAUCUUCGUUUAAACCAAUUUUAACUUUCAAAUAUUAUAUUGCUAUACAAUAAUAACGUUAUUGCAUGAAUAUUGGGGAAUAUUGUCCCUGGUAGAACAUAUUUGAUUGCACUCGCAAUCUCGUGCAAUAACGUAAUUCUACUCUAGACAAUAUUCCCCAAUAUUAAUGCAAUAACCCUAUAAUAUUAUUUUAAUUUAUCGGAUGCUGUGAAAAAGUGUCCUUCAAUUGGACAUUAUUUCAUGAAAAAGUACUAUUAAAUUCUGUCCUACAAGGUUGACUUUCAAUAAGAGAACUUUUUCACAGUGAAAGGUGUCCUUUAAAGGGAGAUAAGAAAAAAUUCACUGAUCAUUAAUUCUGCUAGGUUUUUUUUACCUAUUCUGAAUCAAUUAAAGAAAAUGAAAGAUCUAGUCAAUGGAUCACAGCUUAUUGAGAACCACAAGCACCAAAUCUGAAGAAAUUUCUUACAUGAACAAAAUUCAGUACACAGAAGGUGGCAGAAAUACAAAAAUGCAGGGAUCCCAGAUGUGGAAUGUGCUAAAUGCUAGAAGUGAGACAAAGUAAAAGUAAAGAGUGACUGCCCUUUAUAGUCAACUUUGGUCAAUUUUUUCAUAAAUUUUUAAUUGUAAUUUUUACAAAAAUCUGUUCUGAAACUUUUAAGACAAAUUUAACCAAACUUGUCCACAAUUAUCAUUAGAGUAUCUAGUUUAAAAAAUGUGUCCGAUGACCUGCCUGGCGAACCAAGAUGGCUAAAAAUAGUACAUAGGGUGAAAUGCAGUUUUUAGCUAAAAUCUCAAAAACCAAAACUUUAAAGCAAAUCUGACGAGUUCAAUUUGUUCAUUAGGGUCAAGGUCUAUCUGCCUUGAAAUUGCAAGACUAAUCAGGCAACCUGUUGUUGGGUUGCUGCCACUGUAUUGGUAAUUUUAAGAAAAUUUUUCAGCUUUUCGUUAUUAUCUUGAAUAUUAUUAUAGAUAGAGAUAAACUGUAAACAGCAAUAAUGUAAAGCUAAGUAAGACCUACAAAUAAGUCAACAUCAUGAUGAAAAUGGUCAUUUGACCCCUUAAGGAGUUACAUGUAUUGUCCUUUAUAGUCAAUUUUUAACAAUUUUCCUAAAUUUUGUAAAUCUUGUAAAAUUUUACAAAAUAUUUUAACUACUGGGAUAGAUUUAUGGGUUCAUUAUAGAUAGAGACAAUUGUAAGCAGCAAGAAUGUUCAGUAGAGUAAGAUCUGCAAACACAUCAACAUCAUCAAAAAAUUUUUUUGUCAAGAAUCCAUCCGUGUCCUUUGUUUAUAAUGAUAUGCACAUAGACCUAGGUGGGCGACACAGGCUCUUUAGAGCCUCUAGUUUAAGAUGUGGACCGAAGAUAAAAUUCCAUGUGAAGCCAUUAGGAACCCUAUUUUCUUGAACUGUAUACCGGUAAGCUGACUGUAAAUAGGAAGUGAAAUUCGGUCCGUAAAUAAGAUUCCGUAAUCAGUCAGGGGACUUACUUAAACAAGUGAUUUUCGAAAUCACUGAUUCAAGUAACAUUAUUUCCAUAAAGGUUGGAAGUUAGAGUUGUCUUUCUUUAAUAAUCACCUAUUUAAGUAGUACAAAUUAAUCACUAGAAGAAGUGAUUUAAUUUUAUUGUAGCUUUAAAUAUAGAAUACUAAUGAUCCAGGGACUAAUAAUGUUUCUAAACUUACCAGAAUUCAGAACCAACAUCUGUGUUGUCUAGGAUGACCAGGUCAUUUCAGAUGAUGACCUUGUACUGAAUCUAGGAUAAUGACAUAAAAAUCACUUGUUUAAGUAUCACCCCAAUUUCCUUCCCAAAAAUCACUAAUUUCAACACCCCCCAAACAGUGAAAUUUUUAUUGAGAACAGUAGAAUUUUAUUACAUAAUCUGAAAGAUGAAACCUUGAACUUCACAGGAAAAAUACUCCCACUGCUGUGAAAAAUCUUUGAAGAAAGUACGUAUCAGUGCAUUAUGAAAAGUCAUUAUUAUAGCAUUUUUUCAACUAAAAUAGAAUUUUCAGCUAAAUCAUAGCAUCAAAGGCAUAAACCUUGCUACUUAAAAGAAGCAAAAAGUUCAUAUUUUUUAAUUUUACUAAUUAAAAGAUAUUAUUUAAACCUAUUUGUUUAAAAUUUUGAAAAAACUACAAAAUCCCAAUUUGUGACAAAACCUCAAAUUUGCUACUCAAAUAAAUGAUCAUUUAUUUGAGUAGCAAAUCACUUAUUUCAGUAAGUCCCCUGACUGGUAAUAUAUAUACAAACUACCGCAUGAUGUUACUAUUAGGUAACGUCACAAGUUGUUACUAGUAACGAUAACAGUUCUGUCUGAUGAACUCUAGGAGAUGCGGUGAAAGUGCUAACAGAAACAAUGUUUGAUUUAUAACGUGAUUUUUGUCAAGCCUGCAACUUUUGUUGCAGAAAGCUCGACAUAGGGAUAUAGUGAUCCGGCGGCGGCAUUAGCUAACUUCUUAAAUAAAAUUGAGAAUGGAAAUGGGGAAUGUGCCAAAGAGACAACAACCCGACCAUAGAAAAAAACAACAGCAGAAGGUUACCAACAGAUCUUCAAUGUAACGAGAAAUUCCCGCACCCGGAGGCGUCCUUCAACUGGCCCCUAAACAAAUAUAUAUAUACUAGUUCAGUGAUAAUGAACGCCAUACUAAUUUCCAAAUUGUACACAAGAAACUAAAAUUAAAAUAAUACAAGACUAACAAAGGCCAGAGGCUCCUGACUUGGGACAGGCGCAAAAAUGCGACAGGGUUAAACAUGUUUGUGAGAUCUCAACCCUCCCCCUAUACCUCUAGCCAAUGUAGAAAAGUAAACGCAUAACAAUACGCACAUUAAAAUUCAGUUCAAGAGAAGUCCGAGUCUGAUGUCAGAAGAUGUAACCAAAGAAAAUAAACAAAAUGACAAUACUACAUAAAUAACAACAGACUACUAGCAGUUAACUGACAUGCCAGCUCCAGCUCCAGACAGCUUUAUAUUUUAAAAGGUAUAAGACCUGGAUGCUUCAUACUUUGUAUAUAGAUGCCUCAUGUUACGAACUUUCCGUCAGUCACAUGUCCAAUGUCCUUGACCUCAUUUUCAUGGUUCAGUGACUACUUGAAAAAAAAGUUAAGAUUUUUUGUAAUGUUAAAUUCUCUCUUAUUAUAAGUAAUUGGAUAACUAUUUUUGGUAUCUGCGUACCUUGCAAGGUCCUCAUGUCUGUCAGACAGUUUUCACUUGACCUCGACCUCAUUUCAUGGAUCAGUGAACAAGGUUAAGUUUUGGCGGUCAAGUCCAUAUCUCAGAUACUAUAAGCAAUAGGUCUAGUAUAUAUAUUCAGUGUAUGGCAGGACUGUAAGGUGUACAAGUCCAACUGGCAGGUGUCAUCUGACCUUGACCUCAUUUUCAUGGCUCAGUGUUUAUAGUUAAGUUUUUGUGUUUUGGUCUGUUUUUCUUAUACUAUAUAUAUAUAUAGCUAUAUGCAAUAGGUCUACUAUAUUUGGUUUAUGAACUGAUUGUAAGGUGUACAUGCCUAGCUGACAGGUGUCAUCUGACCUUGACCUCAUUUUUAUGGUUCAGUGGUCAAAGUUGAGUUUUUGAGUUUUGGUCUAUUUUUCUAAUACUUUAUGCAUUAGGUCAACUAUAUUUGGUGUAUGGAAAUAUUUUAUGAUCUAUAUGUUUGUUACACAGGUUUUAUUUGACCUUGACCUCAUUUUCACGGUCCAUUGCUAAGUGUUAAGUGUUUGCGUUUUGGUCUGUUUUUCUUAAUUUAUAAGCAAUAAGUCAAAUAUAUUUGUUGUAUUGAAGAAUUGUUAGCUGUACAUGUUUGUCUGGCAUGGUUCAUCUGAUCUUGACCUCAUUUUCGUGGUUCAUUCAUGAUUGAUCAAUGUUUUGUUUUCUUGUUUAGUGUUGAGUUUAUGUAACAGUUGUAAUAAAGCUUUAUAUUUAGGUCUAUUAACAUAAUAUCAAUGAUUAGUAAAGAAGGCGAGACAUUUCAGCGUUUGCACUCUUGUUUGUGCUUUUUAUUUUUAAGCUAUAUAUAUAUAUAUAUAUGUUCUUUGAAAAUUUCCUAAUACAUUGUAGGUCAUCAAAAAUGUGUGUCAUUAAUAUUUACAUGUACUUGGGACCUUUUUAAUGUUCAAAACUGUUCUAUUUGCUUAAAAGUAAUCUGAAGCAAUUUCUAGACAUGCUUCUAUCAUCAAGGUAAAAAGCCUUGUGACCUAAAUAUUGAUAAAUCAGUUAAGCUAAAAAAAAAAUUUUCAUUAAUAAAACAAUUUACAGAUGAUUAAGUAUAAAACAAUUAUAUAUCUAUUUCAAGGAAACUAUAAGAAUGUUUAAAAGUUUAAAAAGUCACAGAAUCUAAAUAAAAAAAUUGUAACUUUGCAUUAUUUGUUAAAGGGACACUCAGUGACAGUAUGGACUCAGUUCAUCAUUAUGAUAGGAGCACAUGUCCUGUGCAUGCUGUGUAUAUAGUAUAAUAGAUUUAUUAUGUCUAGUCUAUCUUAAGUUUGGUUAAACUGCCCACUGGGAAAACAUUAUUACAUGUUUACAUUCCCAAUUACUACUAUUAGUCAAUUAUGUGUGAAAAAUUUCAAUUUCAUGGGUUUUAAUCCCCCAGGAUAUAAAUGAAGAUAUAAAACUUUUAUUCUCAGUACUGUCUCAGUUACUUACUUAAAGACAAUAAAAAUAUAAAAUUAGGGUAAUAUAAUAUUCCCCCAAAAAAUGAACAUUGAGAAGUUCUCACUCUGAUACACAUUUCAAAGAUCAUAUAAAUCAUAUAUAUCUUUUUUGAAUUAGAUGUGAGGACAUGAUGGGUAAUUUAUAAACUCUUUCCUUACUUAGAAAAAGCACCUGGUUUCCGUAAGAGCAGAACAUUUCAAGGGGAGGAUGCAGAGCCUCUAUAUAUUUACAGUUCUCCUGGAUACUGAUUUGUGAACAUGUAAAAAUAAGGCAGAUAAAUCACUCAUGUAACCUCAACAACGAUAGCGACAAAUGUAUAAUUUUAUUUACUUUUUUCAAUUUCUCAUUGAUGUGAUGUAAAUUUUCUGUUAGAAACUCACACGACUGUCUAUCUAAAUUAGUGUGACAGUUGCACAAGACUGUUUUAUCUUAAUUUUGCAGAUUUUUUUUUCUAGGUGUACAACUGUGCAAGUAUUGAACAUCAGCUUGAAAUGCAAUGUGACCUAAAAGACAGCAUAAUAAUGGACAGAUGUAAGUAAUGAUAAAAUAGUCAAUGAUAUGGGAAAUGUAUGAAAUUGUAAGAAAAAAGUUGACAGACAUAUUAUUUUACACCUGUCCCUCCGUCGGUCAGUUAGCUAUAGGUCAAAGUACAGCCUUCAACAAUGAGCAAAGCUCAUACUGCAUAGUCAUAUAUAUAUAAGCCCUGAAAUUACAAUUGUAAAACAAUUCAGAACUAAUGACCUUAAUAUUAAUAUACAAAUAAAAUAACUAAAAACAAAUAUAUGCAACACAGCAACAUACAACAACCACUGAUUGUCCAGGUUCCUGACUUGGGACAAGCACAGAAGAUGGCAGGAUUAAACAUGUCGGCGGGAUCCAAGCCUUCAUAAAAUCAUGUAUUUUAGAUAUUCUCCUCAAGAAAAUCUGAUACAUGUAUAUCAGAAAUGUAAUUAACAUCAACCAUUGUCAACACUUUUAAAAGUUGUAUUUAACUUUAUUUAAUUUAUUCUUAUACAAAGAAGAUGUGGUAUGAUUGCCAAUCAGACAAUUCUCGACAAGAGACCAAAUGACACAGAAAUUAACAACUUAAGGUCACUGUACUGCCUUCAACAAUGAGGAAAGCCCAUACCACAUAGUCAGCUAUAAAAGGCCUCCAAAUGACAAAUGUAAAACAAGAAAACAAAAAACUAACUGCCUAAUUUAUGUACAAAAAAUGAACAAAAACAAAUAUAUGUAACACAUCAACACAUCAACAAAUGACAACCACUGAGCACUGCAUUAAAGACUCCUGACUUGGAACAGGCACAUACAUUACAUUGUACCUUAAUAUUUUAAUUCACAUAUUGGUAUAAAAUCUAUUAUGUUUUUUUACUCAAAUUUUUUUUUUAGAUUGUAUAAUGGUAUGAUGUCGUGGUCAUCAUCGUCCGAAGACACAUUGUUUUCCGGAUAAUAACUUUAGUUUAAGUGAUUAGAUCUUUAUGAAAUUUUCUCAGAAGGUUCAAAAGAGGGACGAAAGAUACCAAAGGGACAGUCAAACUCAUAAAUCUAAAACAAACUGACAACACCAUGGCUAAAAAGACAAACAGAAAAACAAUAGUACACAUGACACAACAUAGAAAACUAAAGAAUAAACAAAAAGUACCAAAAAAGGAAGGUUGGGAUCAAUUUUGUGAAUGAUGGUCCCAACUGUUUAGGGAUAAGGGGCCCAAAACAAGCAUUUUUCUAGUUUCAGGAUAAUAACUUAGUGUACAAGUAUUUAAAUUGCUCUGAAAUUAUACCUUAAUGUUGAGACCACACGUAGAAGGUUAUGAUUCAUUUGAGAGGUUAUGGGGCCAAAGAGAACUUGUAAACGGUUCAGAUCCCUACCCCUAAACCAUAUAUAUUCUUGAAUGGAACAAUUUAACAAAUCAAACCAAAUAUAGGGGGAGUCUAUGGGGUUACCCCACACCCUUUUGUUAGAAUACUUGUAAACAGUAGAGAUCCCCACCUCUAAACCUUAUAUAUUCUUGUAUGGGAUAAUAAAACAAAUCUAAUAAAAUAUGGGACCAUGGAAAUGGCAAAUUAUGGGAGCUUUGUUUGGAAGAUUUCGUAACAGCAUCCUGUUACAAUUACUUCUUGUUUAUUACACAUAUUUUAGUGUAUUAAAGUAAUUAUACUGCUUCGACCUUUCAAAAUUCUAAGAAAGCUCUAUCUCUUUAAUGGAUAAAUAAAUGAAACUAGUCAAGAACUCAACAGAUAAUUUUUUUUCAGGUUCUCUGAUUGUAAGUACCUGUUGGCCACACACAUGAAUACUCUCAUUGAUCCUGCAUUCAGCUAAAUAUCAGAAAAAUUAAGAACAAAGGAAAAUAUGCUGAAACUGUACAGUCACUGGUCAGGAUUAUUUCAGAAGUGCAAUUAUAAUACAAUAUAUGUUACUGGUUAAUUUCUAUGAUUUGUAAAUUGAAACAACACACAGAGGCUUUGCAUUAUUGUUUUACAAGAAAGACACCAAAAGAUGCAGUCAACAUUUAUCAUUUUUAUCAAAAUACGCCCAGGACAAACCAUGGGUACACUUAGCUUGAAAGAUGGUGCUUUCAUAUCAAAAUUGCCUGGAAGUAAAAGAAAUAAAGAACCAAAAUUCAUGUCAGCAAUCAGGGGAUAAGAUGAAAGAAUACAGAAUAAGGUACUGUCAUGUUCAGUCUUUAUAAGAGUCCUGAUGCUCUAUAUAUACAAAUGUAUAUGCAUUUUGUUAUGCCCCGUCAUAGCAGUGGGGGCAUUUAGUUUUAUCCUUGUAUGUUUGUACAUAAUAUUAGAUUUAAGAAGAUGUGGUAUGACUCCCAAUGAGACAACUCUCCAUCCAAGUCACAAUUUGUAAAAGAAAAACCAUUAUAAAUAGGUCAAAGUACAGUCUUCAACACAUGUACAGAGCCUUGGAUCACACCCAACAGUAAGCUAUUAUUAUUUAAAAAAAAAUUACUAGUGUGCAACCAGCUUUGAAACAUUAAACCAAAGGUUUAUUCUAUAUAAAAAAAGAGAAAAGAGAAACACUUAUAGUGCAUGAUUUUCUCACUUUGUUGAAGACCCAUUGGUGGACUUUGGUUGUUGUCUGCACUUUGGUCGGGUUGUUGACAUAUUCCCCGCAUUUCCAUUCUCAAUUUUAUUAAGAAGUUAUUGAACUUUAUUCUUUGAAAAUGUGAUGGAGGUAUCAUGUGCACAUGGCGAAUCUGUUUAUUUGUUUUAGUUCACUAUAAACUUAAGUUUGCUUAACCAAAUGUACUGAAACUUAUACACAAUGCUUAUAACCACAAAACUCAGAUCAAGUACUCAUUUGGGUACUGUGUGUCACUUUUACCAUUCUUAAUUUAUGACCCCUUAAAAUGUUAUAUGCAAGCAGGGGCAUAAUCUGUGUCCCAUGGACCCAUUCACCAUUUAUUUAUUCACAGAAUUUUGAAAGGAAUAAAUAAUCCAUGAUGUUCAUAUAGAUAAAAUAUAUUGUUUCAAGAAUUUUUAUCUGUUUAUUACAGAUGAAACGAAACUCUAACAACAUGAACAACACAAAAAAUAACUAAAUAGCAUAGAUGCAGUUUUGACCUAUAUCAUGUAUAUUUAUAUAAAAAUAAUGAUGAUUGCCAAUGAGACAACUAUCCACCAAAGUUUGAAUAAAGUGGAUAUAAGCAGUUUUAGGUAACUGUACACCCUUAUGAAUGAUAAAAACCUGUACUGUACAUAUAGUCCGCUGUAAAAGGUCCCGACAAGAAAAAAUAUGAACAAAAACAUUUGAGAAAACUAAAGGCCUAAUUUAUAUAAUUUACAACAAAACAAGUAGCGAAAAUCAAAUGUAUAACAUAAGUAAACCAACGACUUAUGGAAUUACUGGCUCCUGACUUGGGACAGGCACACAAAGAAUGUGGCAGGUUAAACAAAUUUUUGGUUGCUCAAACCUCCCCUAACCUGGGACAGUGGUGUUACAGCACAACAUAAGAACAAACUAUAAAAAUCAGUUGAAAAGGUUUCAUCAUAUUUGUAUAGGUCAACUGUCUUGAAAUGAUCAACAAGUGAUUGUAGAAUUGAAUAACCAAAAACACACAAACAUCUACUGUCAACACCAAAUUCCCCAAAACAAAAGCUUUAAGGGGGAUCGCAGGCAUAAAACAAUUUUUGUUUUUAAACAUAGAAUUUUGCUAUUUUUUUUCUAGAAAUAAACUUUAUAUAUCCUAUACUUAAAUAGAAAAAUAAAAGUAUAGGGUCACCGUUCAUUAAAGCUCACAAUCUGCCUUCGAAAGAAGCAUGUAUUUUUUGCUAAGUACCUUUUUACUGUAGAACUAAAACAUGUAAUAGGACAAAAUGUAAGAGGAAAAAAAAUGUAAUUUCAAAAUAUAAAGAACUAAAUUACAGAAAUUGCUUAAAUUUUACAAUAGUUGAGUUUUAGUACAGCUUAUUUUGAGAAAAAAAUAAUGAAAAAAUAUAAGUCACCCAUGAGUUGAAAAAGAUGUUUCAAUUUUAAUGCCAAAAAAUUGGCAUUUUUUCAUCUAAGGGAGAUAAUUUAGAGCUUUUUCAGUGGUAUAAACAUUUCAAAAAUCAUCUGGGGCCAAAACAAAUAGAUUUUUUGGUUGAUUUUUGUACCAUAUCAUAUAUUAACCUCUAAUAGUAUAAGAAAUAAAAUUUGUAAUGAAAAAAAAAAAUGUUUAAAUUUUUGCUGAAUUUUUAUACCCUCAAGCAUCCUUAAGAUACAACUUUAGGUGACAGGAAAUGUCUUGACUUGGGAAAGCCACAUGCAAACUCAAUGUUGCUCCCCUUGUAAAUCUCGAUUAGUGUUUUUAAAAAGAAAAAAAGUUAACAUAAAAGAAUGCAGGUUGUCAGGAUCACAUUCAAUUGGAGAAAGGGAAAAGAACACAACUUUACACUAAAUAAUUUUGAAAACUUAUUGCCUAUACUAUCUUUAUUGAUAACAGACUGAGCCAAAAACGUUUUCAUCUACUAGUACGGACACUAAAUAUCAAAACUUGUGCCUAUAUAACUAUAUAAAAUUUUAAUAAUAUAUACUAGUCCGAAUCAAUAUUUACUGGUCUGGGGCAUUGGACUAGUGGCUAACAGUGCAGACUGUGAUAAAAAAAAUUCAGAAACAUUAUGUACAUUAUGAUCAUUGUGAUUGUGUUAAACAUCAGACAAGGCAAUCAAAAUGGUCAGAGGGGGCAAAGAAGUUUUGUUAUAAAUGUCAAAUGGUUAUAGUCUCAACCUAUCAACAUGAUCAAAAUUGUUGAUUUCACAGUUAAUAUUUACUUUUAGCAUGUUCAGCGGAAUAGAAUGUUUUUGUUAUAUUUUAUUAAAUGUUAAUUUACUUUGUUCUUAUAGGCAGGAGUGAAAGGAAGAGAAAACAAGGCAUCAGUAAAGAAGCAGAUCAAUUUAUAUUGAUAUGUAAUAAUUCCA